ACUCAAAUGAAUUGACGGGGACCCGCACAAGCGGAGGAUGAUGUGGUUUAAUAUGACGCUACGCGUAGAACCUUACCGAGGCUUGACAUCCUGGGAAUCUGGUAGAAAUACCGGAGUGCCUUCGGGAGCCCAGUGACAGGUGCUGCAUGGCCGUCGUCAGCUCGUGUUGUGAAAUGUUGGGUUAAGUCCCGCAACGAGCGCAACCCUUAUCGUAUGUUGUAUUUUUCAUGCGAGACUGCCCGGGCCAACCGGGAGGAAGGUGGGGAUGAAGUCAGGUCGGCAUGGCCCUUACGCCUCGGGCUACACACGUCAUACAAUGGCCGGUACAACGCGCUGCGAAGCCGCAAGGCGGAGCUAAUCGCACCAAAACCGGUCCCAGUUCGGAUUGCAGGCUGCAACUCGCCUGCAUGAAGUCGGAUUCGCUAGUAAACGCAGGUCAGCAUACUGCGUUGAAUACGUUCCCGGGUCUUGCACACACCGCCCGU
rnacentral:rRNA from 1 species